rnacentral:lncRNA from 1 species
AUUUGUUCCGUGAAUGUGCACUGUUUCUACUGCUCUCUCUUUUACGCUUCCUUUUACACGUCCACCAGAUGCAGUUGUGUUGUGUAUUCGUGGAUUCCUUUUUUGCCCCAAUCAAGGGUUUAGAGUUGAAGGGUUUCGUGAGCUUGCACGGAACAGUGCGAUCUUCGGCAAUUUGCCAUCGAGGACAUUGACACAAUCAUGAGACUCUAGGUGCAGCGUAAAGCAUGAGCCCCCAUCCGACGGUUUUCUGGCGUGGGCGAUUUUCAUUUGCUUUGGUGGAGGCUCACUUUGCCUCACCCCAUCUAGUCUUCUGUGGUCUCGACUGCCGCUUUACGUGUCCACCACUAAUUCCACAAGAGCUUUUUAUCAGAUCAUGUUGGAACUCCUCCAGCGUUUCGCACCUACUGUAUGUAAGGCUAAAGCUGUCACCACCAGUUUUAGGGCAGAGCUAAAAUUCUCAGACUCAGCUUCUAAUGAGUAACAGGUGCACGAUUACUAUCUGCUAGCAGAAAGGCAACACAAAUGUGUAGUAACCUCGGAAGGGCCUACGUCUGGAACGAGUGUCACACAAUUAGGACUGCGGAACUGAAAUCCUAAAAUUGAUUACAGGAGACAAUUUUUUUUAUUUCAACGGUACUGUUAAUAAAACUCUAGGGCAGAUGCAACAAAGUGCGGAAUCAAUUUAAUGGAUCGAAUGAUGUGAAGUGAGAAGGGUCAUCCACGGUCUCAUGAGAUCAGCGUUGAAACAACCUGUUGGAUUGGAACAAGAAACGACAAGCCAUGCAUUUUUGUCUUUACAGGUCAAAGAUAAUUUGGCCCAGGAGUUUUGGGGAAAGGUGUUUGCAUCAGGAAGCCAGGCCUUAACAUCAGAGACGGUGGUUUUAUUUUGUAUUUUUUUUAAUUGUUAAUGAGAAAUCUUAAAGCGAUUCAAACUGCGAUAAUCCUCAAUGCGGAUGCGUGCAUGGACCCACUUCGCAUUUGGAACUUCGCGAGGUACUUCUUGCUCCCUAGAUUGUUGUUUGUGCACAUAUUAUGAUCCUUUUCCUUUCAUAUAAAACAAAGAUGAAUAAUUGCAACCUCAAACUAAUUUUCAAAAGUAUGUCUAUUUAUAUUCAUAGUCAGCGGGACUCAGCAAAAUGGCACCGCACAAAGUUUAGAUUCGGGAUUUCAUUUCGAAGAAUGAAGUAAGAAUAUUGAUUAAUCUAAGUCACUCAAUGUCAGUUCGAUAUCUGUUGCUUUCGCAGCUCAAAGUUUGUCCAAGUCCAUAGCUUCUUCAGCGGAUUUCAUUGUUUUAAUAAUUAAUUAAUUUAUAACUUCUUUUAUAUUUUCUGUAGUUCUUGACAGUAAUUUCAUUCAUGUCAUACCAACAUUGUUUUCAUACAAAAGAACCAGCUCACACAGUAUACAUUUAUGUCUUUAUUUAUUGGGUGUUGUCGGAGCAAUUAUUUAUUUUGAUUUUCGUGGUAACAUCUACAACUUCGUC